UUAAGUUAUUAAGGGCGCACGGUGGAUGCCUUGGCACUAGAAGCCGAUGAAGGACGUUACUAACGACGAUAUGCUUUGGGGAGCUGUAAGUAAGCUUUGAUCCAGAGAUUUCCGAAUGGGGAAACCCAGCAUGAGUUAUGUCAUGUUAUCGAUAUGUGAAUACAUAGCAUAUCAGAAGGCACACCCGGAGAACUGAAACAUCUUAGUACCCGGAGGAAGAGAAAGAAAAUUCGAUUCCCUUAGUAGCGGCGAGCGAAACGGGAAGAGCCCAAACCAACAAGCUUGCUUGUUGGGGUUGUAGGACACUCUAUACGGAGUUACAAAGGACGACAUUAGACGAAUCAUCUGGAAAGAUGAAUCAAAGAAGGUAAUAAUCCUGUAGUCGAAAAUGUUGUCUCUCUUGAGUGGAUCCUGAGUACGACGGAGCACGUGAAAUUCCGUCGGAAUCUGGGAGGACCAUCUCCUAAGGCUAAAUACUCUCUAGUGACCGAUAGUGAACCAGUACCGUGAGGGAAAGGUGAAAAGCACCCCGGAAGGGGAGUGAAAUAGAACCUGAAACCGUGUGCUUACAAGUAGUCAGAGCCCGUUAAUGGGUGAUGGCGUGCCUUUUGUAGAAUGAACCGGCGAGUUACGAUUUGAUGCAAGGUUAAGCAGUAAAUGUGGAGCCGUAGCGAAAGCGAGUCUGAAUAGGGCGUUUAGUAUUUGGUCGUAGACCCGAAACCAGGUGAUCUACCCUUGGUCAGGUUGAAGUUCAGGUAACACUGAAUGGAGGACCGAACCGACUUACGUUGAAAAGUGAGCGGAUGAACUGAGGGUAGCGGAGAAAUUCCAAUCGAACCUGGAGAUAGCUGGUUCUCUCCGAAAUAGCUUUAGGGCUAGCCUCAAGUGAUGAUUAUUGGAGGUAGAGCACUGUUUGGACGAGGGGCCCCUCUCGGGUUACCGAAUUCAGACAAACUCCGAAUGCCAAUUAAUUUAACUUGGGAGUCAGAACAUGGGUGAUAAGGUCCAUGUUCGAAAGGGAAACAGCCCAGACCACCAGCUAAGGUCCCAAAAUAUAUGUUAAGUGGAAAAGGAUGUGGCGUUGCCCAGACAACUAGGAUGUUGGCUUAGAAGCAGCCAUCAUUUAAAGAGUGCGUAAUAGCUCACUAGUCGAGUGACACUGCGCCGAAAAUGUACCGGGGCUAAACAUAUUACCGAAGCUGUGGAUUGUCCUUUGGACAAUGGUAGGAGAGCGUUCUAAGGGCGUUGAAGCAUGAUCGUAAGGACAUGUGGAGCGCUUAGAAGUGAGAAUGCCGGUGUGAGUAGCGAAAGACGGGUGAGAAUCCCGUCCACCGAUUGACUAAGGUUUCCAGAGGAAGGCUCGUCCGCUCUGGGUUAGUCGGGUCCUAAGCUGAGGCCGACAGGCGUAGGCGAUGGAUAACAGGUUGACAUUCCUGUACCACCUAUAAUCGUUUUAAUCGAUGGGGGGACGCAGUAGGAUAGGCGAAGCGUGCGAUUGGAUUGCACGUCUAAGCAGUAAGGCUGAGUAUUAGGCAAAUCCGGUACUCGUUAAGGCUGAGCUGUGAUGGGGAGAAGACAUUGUGUCUUCGAGUCGUUGAUUUCACACUGCCGAGAAAAGCCUCUAGAUAGAAAAUAGGUGCCCGUACCGCAAACCGACACAGGUAGUCAAGAUGAGAAUUCUAAGGUGAGCGAGCGAACUCUCGUUAAGGAACUCGGCAAAAUGACCCCGUAACUUCGGGAGAAGGGGUGCUCUUUAGGGUUAACGCCCAGAAGAGCCGCAGUGAAUAGGCCCAAGCGACUGUUUAUCAAAAACACAGGUCUCUGCUAAACCGUAAGGUGAUGUAUAGGGGCUGACGCCUGCCCGGUGCUGGAAGGUUAAGAGGAGUGGUUAGCUUCUGCGAAGCUACGAAUCGAAGCCCCAGUAAACGGCGGCCGUAACUAUAACGGUCCUAAGGUAGCGAAAUUCCUUGUCGGGUAAGUUCCGACCCGCACGAAAGGCGUAACGAUUUGGGCACUGUCUCAACGAGAGACUCGGUGAAAUCAUAGUACCUGUGAAGAUGCAGGUUACCCGCGACAGGACGGAAAGACCCCGUGGAGCUUUACUGUAGCCUGAUAUUGAAAUUCGGCACAGCUUGUACAGGAUAGGUAGGAGCCUUUGAAACGUGAGCGCUAGCUUACGUGGAGGCGCUGGUGGGAUACUACCCUAGCUGUGUUGGCUUUCUAACCCGCACCACUUAUCGUGGUGGGAGACAGUGUCAGGCGGGCAGUUUGACUGGGGCGGUCGCCUCCUAAAAGGUAACGGAGGCGCUCAAAGGUUUCCUCAGAAUGGUUGGAAAUCAUUCAUAGAGUGUAAAGGCAUAAGGGAGCUUGACUGCGAGACCUACAAGUCGAGCAGGGUCGAAAGACGGACUUAGUGAUCCGGUGGUUCCGCAUGGAAGGGCCAUCGCUCAACGGAUAAAAGCUACCCCGGGGAUAACAGGCUUAUCUCCCCCAAGAGUUCACAUCGACGGGGAGGUUUGGCACCUCGAUGUCGGCUCAUCGCAUCCUGGGGCUGUAGUCGGUCCCAAGGGUUGGGCUGUUCGCCCAUUAAAGCGGUACGCGAGCUGGGUUCAGAACGUCGUGAGACAGUUCGGUCCCUAUCCGUCGUGGGCGUAGGAAAUUUGAGAGGAGCUGUCCUUAGUACGAGAGGACCGGGAUGGACAUACCUCUGGUGUACCAGUUGUCGUGCCAACGGCAUAGCUGGGUAGCUAUGUGUGGACGGGAUAAGUGCUGAAAGCAUCUAAGCAUGAAGCCCCCCUCAAGAUGAGAUUUCCCAACUUCGGUUAUAAGAUCCCUCAAAGAUGAUGAGGUUAAUAGGUUCGAGGUGGAAGCAUGGUGACAUGUGGAGCUGACGAAUACUAAUCGAUCGAAGACUUAAUCAA
rnacentral:rRNA from 1 species